rnacentral:rRNA from 1 species
ACUCAAAGGAAUUGACGGGGGCCCGCACAAGCGGUGGAGCAUGUGGUUCAAUUCGAUGCAACGCGAAGAACCUUACCUGGGUUUGAACUGCUUCUGAAUGAAGUAGAGAUAUUUCAGUCUAGCAAUAGACAGAAGUAGAGGUGCUGCAUGGCUGUCGUCAGCUCGUGUCGUGAGAUGUUGGGUUAAGUCCCGCAACGAGCGCAACCCUUGCCUCUAGUUGCUCGCUGUAACAGGCAGCACUCUAGAUGGGACUGCCGGUGAUAAACCGGAGGAAGGUGGGGAUGACGUCAAGUCAUCAUGGCCUUUAUGUCCAGGGCUACACACGUGCUACAAUGGACGGUACAAAGGGUCGCCAAACCGCAAGGUGGAGCCAAUCCCACAAAACCGCCCUCAGUUCGGAUUGCAGUCUGCAACUCGACUGCAUGAAGGUGGAAUCGCUAGUAAUCGCGGAUCAGCAUGCCGCGGUGAAUACGUUUCCGGGCCUUGCACACACCGCCCGU